GGGCCUGUAGCUCAGCUCAGAGGAUUAGAGCACAUGGCUACAAACCACGGUGUUGGGGGUUCGAAUCCCUCCUUUUCCU
rfam:Zea mays cultivar B73 chromosome 1, whole genome shotgun sequence.